rnacentral:tRNA from 1 species
CGGGCAGUAGCUCAGUGGUACAGCUCCCGCUUCGUAUGUAGGAAGAUCUGGGUUCGAUUCCAGGCUGCUUAC